rnacentral:rRNA from 1 species
UACGUAGGGUGCGAGCGUUGUCCGGAAUUAUUGGGCGUAAAGAGCUCGUAGGCGGUGUGUCGCGUCGGUCGUGAAAACUUGGGGCUUAACUCUGAGCUUGCGGUCGAUACGGGCAUCACUGGAGUUCGGCAGGGGAGACUGGAAUUCCUGGUGUAGCGGUGAAAUGCGCAGAUAUCAGGAGGAACACCGGUGGCGAAGGCGGUUCUCUGGGCAUUUACUGACGCUGAGGAGCGAAAGUGUGGGGAGCGAACAGG